rnacentral:rRNA from 1 species
CGUACACUCCUGCGGGAGGCAGCAGUGGGGAAUCUUGCGCAAUGGGCGAAAGCCUGACGCAGCCAUGCCGCGUGAAUGAUGAAGGUCUUAGGAUUGUAAAAUUCUUUCACCGGGGACGAUAAUGACGGUACCCGGAGAAGAAGCCCCGGCUAACUUCGUGCCAGCAGCCGCGGUAAUACGAAGGGGGCUAGCGUUGCUCGGAAUUACUGGGCGUAAAGGGAGCGUAGGCGGACAUUUAAGUCAGGGGUGAAAUCCCGGGGCUCAACCUCGGAAUUGCCUUUGAUACUGGGUGUCUUGAGUAUGAGAGAGGUGUGUGGAACUCCGAGUGUAGAGGUGAAAUUCGUAGAUAUUCGGAAGAACACCAGUGGCGAAGGCGACACACUGGCUCAUUACUGACGCUGAGGCUCGAAAGCGUGGGGAGCAAACAGGAUUAGAUACCCCUGUAGUCCCA